rnacentral:rRNA from 1 species
AGUGAACGCUGGCGGUAGGCCUAACACAUGCAAGUCGAACGGCAGCACAGUAAGAGCUUGCUCUUACGGGUGGCGAGUGGCGGACGGGUGAGGAAUACAUCGGAAUCUACUUUUUCGUGGGGGAUAACGUAGGGAAACUUACGCUAAUACCGCAUACGACCUACGGGUGAAAGCAGGGGAUCUUCGGACCUUGCGCGAUUGAAUGAGCCGAUGUCGGAUUAGCUAGUUGGCGGGGUAAAGGCCCACCAAGGCGACGAUCCGUAGCUGGUCUGAGAGGAUGAUCAGACACACUGGAACUGAGACACGGUCCAGACUCCUACGGGAGGCAGCAGUGGGGAAUAUUGGACAAUGGGCGCAAGCCUGAUCCAGCCAUACCGCGUGGGUGAAGAAGGCCUUCGGGUUGUAAAGCCCUUUUGUUGGGAAAGAAAAGCAGCAGGUUAAUACCCCGCUGUUCUGACAGUACCCAAAGAAUAAGCACCGGCUAACUUCGUG